GUAUAGCUACGGCUAAUUGUGUAUAUCUACACGAUAUCGACUCUGUCGAAUAAAAUUCUGGGUAAAUUAUGAUGAUGACAUUUUUUACCUAUGUGUCUUGACCAAAUUGUGUGCCAGCAGUCGCGGUAAUACAUAGAAGACUAGUGUUAUUCAUCUUUAAUAGGUUUAAAGGGUACCUAGACGGUAGAUCAAGCCCUAGACGGGACUAAUUUGCUAGAGUUACUUAUGAGGGGGCUUUAAAGUACUAAUGGUGUAGAGAUAAAAUUUUGUAAUACCAUUUUUCGUAAAGAAAAAUUAUGGCACUGGUAAAGGUGAAAGCAUCCCCCUAUGUGAUAACUGACGUUGAAGGACGAAGGCUUUGGGUCGCGAAUAGGAUUAGAUACCCUAGUAGUCAAAGCAGAAAAUUAUGAGUGUCAUAGAUUAGAUAAUACAGUUUAUUCUAUAAAUGAAAGUGUAAGCACUCCACCUCAAGAGUAAUUUGGCAACAUUGGAACUGAAAUCAUUAGACCGUUUCUGAAACCAGUAGUGAAGUAUGUUGUUUAAUUCGAUGAUCCGCGAAAAACCUUACCACAAUUUGAAUAUGUAUACUUUUGAUAUAUUUACAAGCGUUGCACGGCUGUCUUCAGUUAAUGUCGUGAGACUUUGGUUAGAUCCAUUAAAUUAACGUAAGCCCUUACUUUAUUUUCAUAUAAAGUAGUUCUCCACCAUAUUGGACAAGAUAACAGGGACUAAGACAAGUCAUCAUGGCCUGAAUAUUGUGGGCUAUA
rnacentral:rRNA from 1 species